rnacentral:miRNA from 1 species
GCGCUGUAAUGUUCUAUG